rnacentral:lncRNA from 1 species
UAACAUGUAAUGUAACAGAUGUUACACUCUAUUUAUAUUAUAGUUACGAAACUUUACUACAUAUAUGUGAUGUAACAAAGUUAUGAAGCUAUAAUAUUACUCCGUUAUUUGUAUGUUACAAUAACCGAACAGUGAUGUAACCACAAUGUUGCGUGAUUACACAACAAUUGUUUUAUUUAUGUUAUAUGGAUAUUAUAAAAUUUGAAUCUUGUGAGACUCUAACCUCAAUCGCACAACGUACAUCUCGUGCUAUUAGGCGCGCUUUCCGCUAGUGGAUGCUAUAAUGACGAAAGAGAGACGUUGUUUUCUUGCAACUUGACUUUAAUCAGGAUUCUGCCAAUUAUUCUUACAUCAUUCGGACAACUGUUCUUCUUAAAAUUUAAAAGAACGUAAAGAAUAACUGAAGUUUAUAAAAGCUGAAGAAAUUUUCACAAGGAUUAGAACAGAAAACUGAACUCAAAUGGAAGCGCUUGCACUCUCAUGUUACUAUCAUGUCCUGACAAUUUCGGAUUUUAUAAAACUAUAGGAGAUGUUGUGAUUGACGUUGAGAUUGUGAUUGACAUCUGGAGCAGAGCUAUAAUUUUGUUUAACAUUACGUGAAGUUUAUU